rnacentral:rRNA from 1 species
AACGACUCCCGGCAACGGAUAUCUCGGCUCUCGCAUCGAUGAAGAACGUAGCGAAAUGCGAUACUUGGUGUGAAUUGCAGAAUCCCGUGAACCAUCGAGUCUUUGAACGCAAGUUGCGCCCGAAGCCAUCAGGCCGAGGGCACGUC